rnacentral:rRNA from 1 species
AUUGUAUCCACGAUUGGGGAAUUUUCCGCAAUGGGCGAAAGCCUGACGGAGCAAUACCGCGUGAGGGAGGAAGGCUCUUGGGUUGUAAACCUCUUUUCUCAAGGAAUAAAAAAAUGAAGGUACUUGAGGAAUAAGCAUCGGCUAACUCCGUGCCAGCAGCCGCGGUAAUACGGAGGAUGCAAGCGUUAUCCGGAAUGAUUGGGCGUAAAGGGUCCGCAGGUGGCAGUGUAAGUCUGCUGUCAAAGAAUGAGGCUUAACCUCAUCAAGGCAGUGGAAACUACACAGCUAGAGUACGGUCGGGGUAGAAGGAAUUCCUGGUGUAGCGGUGAAAUGCGUAGAGAUCAGGAAGAACACCGGUGGCGAAAGCGUUCUGCUAGGCCUGUACUGACACUGAGGGACGAAAGCUAGGGGAGAGAAUGGGAUUAGAUACCCCAGUAGUCAAUCGUGGAUACAAU